UAGCCACAAUAACUAGCCCGCUCAGCCUGAUGCCAGCUCGAUCGGCUGGUUUAAGUUAUAGUCAGAUAAUGGCCAUAUUUCAUAUAAACCUAAAGUGGGGAGUUUUCUGGUGUAUUUAGUGCAGUGACAGCGUCCGCUGAGCCAGCUGGGACACGCUACGUCACUCAGACAAACAGCAAAGCUGUAGAGAACCUGCCUUAUAGCUUUUAAUAUCAGACCAUGCUCCUCUGUAAAGCUUCUGGAAAGCAAUUGAACUUUCUGGUUCAGAAAAUACCAAAAUACCUGCUACAAGGAAAUCAUAGCAUCUGAAGAUCACAUCUGAUCAGCUGCUGCAUUUGGGAAAAAAAUGAGCUCAAGACUAGACGGAAGGUUGAAAACAGGAAUAUCAAGAUCAGGAUUUUCUGCUCUGCCUCACUGGAGUUUCCCUGCAAGAUCCGCCUCGCUCGCUUUUUGGCGUCUUCUGGAAAACUUGGGCUGUCC